AAAGGAGGGACAAUUUGUCACUGUGGUAGUCAUGGGAGUCUGGGCUACUUGCUCAUGCAGCCUGCUUGUGCUCUCAGGUCUUCGUACUUCGUCUCAGAUGUAACCCUUAAAAUAUGAUGUAUUGCUGCCAGGCCUGGUUAUCCUAACUCUUAGUAGGUGUACUAGCUCUCAACUCAUGAUGGGCAGCUUCAGAUGCCCAUCAUGUCCUGGGCGCAGGUAUUGUGUUUUUGUUGGACCCAGUUUCAUACCAAGAGUUGUUUUGCAAAAGGCAUACGAUUCUCCUCUGCAAAUGGCAUGGCCUUGCAAAAGAACCACAGAGGACCAGGGAACUAGGCUGUGAUUCUCUCUCUGGGGCUGCUGUAGCUCCACAUAACAUCUUUAUCUACCGUGUAUAGCUUCAAUAAUAAGUGACUGCUUAAGGCUCAACUGGGAUCUGCUACUAAGCCUUUUCCUGCUCUAGUAUCAUUCCGAGGUAGAAGCCUUUCAUUUCACUAGCUGCAUAGGCCAAAUUAGUGUUCCCAUGUGUGGAUUCUGCUGUGUCCUGAAUCAAAGAGGUCUACUAGGUAUGUUGCUUCUUUCAUUGUAGUAGAAGGUAUAGAUGGGAUGUUUUGUCUUUUACCUUGGAGAAAAUUUCCUAUCAGGCCCUUGAGUAUAGGACCCCUAAAACUAUUCGUUGUAGGUUUGCCUCCCAUCCUCUGAGCCACAUGCAGCUUAUGAAGGCUCAAGUAUGCCUCCAAUAUGUUAGCCAGUUCUUGCUCAUGUGGCCUAAGUAGCAUAAUAUCAUCAGAUAAUAGAUCAAUGUCACAUUCUUCAGGCUGUCUAACUGAUUUAGAUUCUUUUGGACUAUUUGUAACAGGACAGGGGAGUUUCAUAGACUUAGGAUGGAACUGCAAAUGUAUAUUGUUAUUCAUCUCUAUGAAUGCAAGUGGGCUCUAAUCCUCUUCUCCAAAAAGAAUAGCAGGGAAUGCAUCCUAUGCACCGGAAGCCACGUCAAUCUGCUCAGAGCGGAUAGAUAGACGCAGUGGCUGGAACUGGGGCUACUAUUUGGUUGAGUUUGUGGUCAUUUACUGUCAUUGUUCAGGGUGCACUUGUUUUCUGCAGGGGCCAGCUAUUGCAUUAAAUGGAAACAUUAUGGAAACUGUCAUUCUUACAUCCUUUAGAUGUAAGAAUGAUCCUUAAGGGUGGUAUUAUAUCCAGAAUUAUCUCAGCCAAUAUUGUUGUAUAUUGCCUACCUUGGCUAGAGAUGGAGAAGUUCAAAGGCUUCACUUGGCCCCACUAUCAUAGAUCUUAACUCACAGGCCUAGCACCCAAUGAUCCAACUGAUGAUUAUAUCAACCCCAAUCAUACAUUCAGAGACUGGAGAACUAACCACUGGGUGUGAGCUGGACUUUUUUUUUGUUACUGGUUCCCAUGUCCCCAGCUAGUUAGAACAAGGAACUAUGAUGAUGAUUUGCUUCUCUGGGCAUCAUGUCAGCUUGGACCUUGUGUCCAGUAGUCCCUGGAAUAUUUGGAAGUCCAUUUUUCUCAGUGUACAGUUAUCCAAAUAAAUGAAGAACUGAUGGAACCUUUACUGUUUACUGUUUCUAUUUGCUGUGGGGUUGCUCCUUCCCAGGACCUGGCUGAGUCUGAGUCUAAAACCUGUUUCAGGCCCAGGAAAUGAUCAAGUGAUCAUGAUAUUUUAUUGGGGUUACUUGUCUCCCUAGGCAGAGAUUCUCUCACUGGCAUUUGUCAUAGCUCCAUAUAGCAUCUUUAUCUACCACCUAUACCUUCAAUAUUAAGGUAGGGCUUAGUGGAUGACUCCUAGUCAUCCAUCCUUGAAUCGUCUAAUAGUACAAAUUAGUCGAGUAUCUACCUUGCCUCUAGCACACUAUGUUUCUUAAAUCACAAUAACCUGUGAGUCAGGCCACCUUGGCUGCCACUUCAACCCUGGUGCUCACCUUAAUAACUACAUCUACCUGGUGUCUGCAGUUAAGUGUCACCACCUGGCUUCUUUGGUGCUGGGUCUAUCAUCACCAUUGGUACCACUAAGCCAGAUUCUCUAGCUACCUCUCCUGCCAUAGUCCUGGCUUAUACAGGGGAG
rnacentral:lncRNA from 1 species